GAUGAACGCUGGCGGCGUGCCUAAUACAUGCAAGUCGAGCGAACGGACGAGAAGCUUGCUUCUCUGAUGUUAGCGGCGGACGGGUGAGUAACACGUGGAUAACCUACCUAUAAGACUGGGAUAACUUCGGGAAACCGGAGCUAAUACCGGAUAAUAUUUUGAACCGCAUGGUUCAAAAGUGAAAGACGGUCUUGCUGUCACUUAUAGAUGGAUCCGCGCUGCAUUAGCUAGUUGGUAAGGGAACGGCUUACCAAGGCAACGAUGCAUAGCCGACCUGAGAGGCGGAUCGGCCACCCGGGAACGUAGACACGGUCCAGACUCCUACGGGAGGCAGCAGUAGGGAAUCUUCCGCAAUGGGCGAAAGCCUGACGGAGCAACGCCGUGUGAGUUAUGAAGGUCUUCGGAUCGUAAAACUCUGUUAUUAGGGAAGAACAUAUGUGUAAGUAACUGUGCACAUCUUGACGGUACCUAAUCAGAAAGCCACGGCUAACUCCGUG
rnacentral:rRNA from 1 species